rnacentral:rRNA from 1 species
AGUGAACGCUGGCGGUAGGCCUAACACAUGCAAGUCGAACGGCAGCACAGUAAGAGCUUGCUCUUACGGGUGGCGAGUGGCGGACGGGUGAGGAAUACAUCGGAAUCUACUUUUUCGUGGGGGAUAACGUAGGGAAACUUACGCUAAUACCGCAUACGACCUACGGGUGAAAGCAGGGGAUCUUCGGACCUUGCGCGAUUGAAUGAGCCGAUGUCGGAUUAGCUAGUUGGCGGGGUAAAGGCCCACCAAGGCGACGAUCCGUAGCUGGUCUGAGAGGAUGAUCAGCCACACUGGAACUGAGACACGGUCCAGACUCCUACGGGAGGCAGCAGUGGGGAAUAUUGGACAAUGGGCGAAAGCCUGAUCCAGCCAUACCGCGUGGGUGAAGAAGGCCUUCGGGUUGUAAAGCCCUUUUGUUGGGAAAGAAAAGCAGCAUGUUAAUACCCCGCUGUUCUGACGGUACCCAAAGAAUAAGCACCGGCUAACUUCGUG